UCGAGUGCAAAUUUGAACUGAAUUACGAUGAUUUUCAUCUAUGGAACAAUAAAAAUGCGUACUACUUGCUUUUAAUUUAUGAGUUUAUUUUCAUUCAAACUGCCAAUUAUGUAGUGUUGGUGGCCUACGAAAGAUACGUUGCGCUUUGUCAGCCCUUUGAGUACAAGAUUAAAUUCACGCGUGUGUUUCGCAAAAAAGUUAUGAUCUUCGCAAUACUUUUGCCAAUAUUUGCUACAGCAUUAACAUGGGGCUAUGGCUUUGUCUCAACAAUAUUUGAUGAAACAUAUGAUCACGUCGGCUCAUGUGAAUUUUGUCCUCUUUACAAGUGGCAUGGUCGUAUCAUUGCGAAAACUGUGGUUCAUAUCUGUGUAUUUCUUUUAUCCGGUGCAUCCUAUUUGAAUAUCUAUGUGACAGUGAAUCAUAAACAGAAGGCUGUCUCGAAUGAUGAAAAGACUUCUUCUAACCUCAGACAGGAUAAACGUCAGCGAUCGGAAGUUCCGGCCCCCAAAAAGGAGCCAUCAAAGGCGGAGCAGAAAUCACAGAAACUGUCUCGUGUCUUUGGGCUCAUAAGUCUGGCUUAUGCAUCUGUAUAUGGUCCUCUGCUGGUGGCGGAUGCUGUUUUGUUUCCAUUGAUGAAUAAAGCAUACAAAUAUCAGGCCAAGCUUGGCCAGGAUCAAUACGCUUCAUACGAGAUGAUUUUCAAGCCGGAGGAAGAAUACGGCGUGCAAGUUGCCUCCGAAAGAGCAUCCACUGCUUUAAUUGGAAUAAGUGCCCUGAGUGGUCUGUUCCCAAUUCUGAACUGUCUCAUUCUCAUUGGCUUCGUCUCCCAUAUGAAAACUGCCGCCAUCAAAAUUCGCACUUACG